rnacentral:snoRNA from 1 species
AUGCAUCUCUGAUAGGUCUGGAGCAAUUAGUAUCUGCUAAGGUUUCCACUACAGAUGCAAGAAAAAAAAAAGCCCUCAUGUUUUCUAUCUGGUUGUGGUAGCCAAGGUCAAAUGGGGGAAUACAGGA